rnacentral:lncRNA from 1 species
AAAAUGCUUGUAUCCAACUUAUCAAAAUAGUGGAAGAUCAUGAUUAUAUCACGGUGAUUCUUUAACACCAUUGAAGAGUGGAGUGGACAAAGCAAAGAGAAACUUUGAACCAAUAUAUAUAUAUCGCUAUGUGUCUUUUCCUUCUUCUCUUACGUCUUUUAAUUUUCUAGCAUUCAUUAAUAUCGCUAUUGCAAUAGUGCAUUAUUGCAUUGUUUGU